GAUGAACGCUAGCUACAGGCUUAACACAUGCAAGUCGAGGGGAAACGACAUCGAAAGCUUGCUUUUGAUGGGCGUCGACCGGCGCACGGGUGAGUAACGCGUAUCCAACCUGCCCACCACUUGGGGAUAACCUUGCGAAAGUAAGACUAAUACCCAAUGAUAUCUCUAGAAGGCAUCCGAAUGGGAUUAAAGAUUUAUCGGUGAUGGAUGGGGAUGCGUCUGAUUAGGUUGUUGGCGGGGUAACGGCCCACCAAGCCAUCGAUCAGUAGGGGUUCUGAGAGGAAGGUCCCCCACAUUGGAACUGAGACACGGUCCAAACUCCUACGGGAGGCAGCAGUGAGGAAUAUUGGUCAAUGGGCGAGAGCCUGAACCAGCCAAGUAGCGUGCAGGACGACGGCCCUAUGGGUUGUAAACUGCUUUUAUAUGGGGAUAAAGUGAGCUACGUGUAGUUUAUUGCAGGUACCAUAUGAAUAAGGACCGGCUAAUUCCGUG
rnacentral:rRNA from 1 species